rnacentral:misc_RNA from 1 species
AUAUAUUUGUAUACGCAUGUGUAUAGCGCAGAAACAAACACGCGCAAGUAACAAAAUAAUACUGCAUGUUCAUAGCACACAUUUUCGUGCUUUUCCGGAGAAUGCUGCUGAAUUCCAGUUACGUAAGAGUACUGACAACAGUACGUUUAACCACGUGAUUAUAUAAACGUCAUCAAGCCUGCGCUUGACAGAUUAUGUCUUGUCGACGACAUCCCCUAUCGUCGCAUUGGCGAGUCAUAAAAACGGCCCUUUCGUUCACUAAACAAUGGUGAUAUAGAACAUCGAGACCGGGAAAGAGGAUGGGAAAGCAAAACAGGCUUCCGGCGGAAAUAUUUUGCGCAAGUUAUUUCUUGCGCACGCCUCUUUAUCAAACAUUUUCUGCCUCAUACGUGCGUCCCAAAUUAAGCGAUACAACAUGUAUAUCGCAGAACUUCUGUUGGAUGGACCAACACAAUUUCAUAGGAAAAAGUUUGUUUUGUACGAGUUUAUUAAGUUCACUGUUAGCUCAAAAUAACUGUUUUUUUUACAAAAAAAGUUUUAUUAAAAAAUAUGAUUGCACAUUAAAUAUAUCAAGUUUAUGAUUAGAAAACAGAUUAUGGACUAUGAGAAAACGAAAAAAGCUUGUUAGGUAAAAAAGUGUGAGACUUUUACAAAUAGCUGAUAAAUUCACGAAAUCUUGCGUUAUAAUAUUAACACCACUAUAGUUUAAUAUUUUCAAUAUUCCCAUAUAUUGUGACGUAUGUUAUAUAAUUUUGAAAGGCACUUUAAAAUCAAAUAAAAGGACAAUUUUGAUACUGGCAAUCAGAAGAUGAUCAUAAGUCAAAUUUCCCAUUUUUACAGGGAAAAUUUAGUAUAUUUAAAAUUUAGUAUAUUUCCUUGUAAAAAUAGGAAAAUUGACUUAUAAUCUUUUCUCUCUUUCAACCUUCAUAUAUUAACUUAGAAUUAAUAUUCUUGAAAACAUAUUAUUGUAUAUUAUCAUUCGUUUUUAUUGAAAAGAUAAACAUUAAUAUGAUUUGUUAAUGUAAAUAAGUAAAUAUAAGGAAGAUAAUUUGAGUCAUCUAAUUAAUGCACGUAUUAAAGAUGAACUGUUAGAAAGUCGUUGCGUUACUAUGCUGUCAUAAUUGCAGAAAAUUGAAUUGACUCAACCUAAAUACUCAAUUUAUUAUAUUUACGGUAGAAUUAUAUUUGUGCAAACAUACAAGAGUGUCAGGUGCCAAUGAAGGAUCGUUAGAAUCUUUUCUUAUAAUACACCACUUCGUCCGCUUUUGAACAUCUGUAUCCUCGAGUUUCCGAACCUAUUGUAGUAUUCACAAGCCAGCAGUUAUAGCGUGCGGAUCUUUACAUUGUUAGGUCACUGUCGAAAGAGUAUUAAGCAUUAUUGGUAUACUUAUCACUCGUAAACGAAGAUAGCACAAAAGUUGUUGUAGUUCUAAGAAUUUUCUUAAUAAACACUUAAUAAACACUACAGUUAAUUUAUAGAA